CCUACGGGUGGCAGCAGUGGGGAAUAUUGGACAAUGGGCGAAAGCCUGAUCCAGCCAUGCCGCGUGUGUGAAGAAGGCCUUCGGGUUGUAAAGCACUUUCAGUGGGGAAGAAAGCCUUGGGGCUAAUACCCUCGAGGAAGGACAUCACCCACAGAAGAAGCAACGGCUAACUCCGUGCCAGCAGCCGCGGUAAUACGGAGGGUGCGAGCGUUAAUCGGAAUUACUGGGCGUAAAGCGCGCGUAGGCGGUCUGAUAAGCCGGUUGUGAAAGCCCCGGGCUCAACCUGGGAACGGCAUCCGGAACUGUCAGGCUAGAGUGCAGGAGAGGAAGGUAGAAUUCCCGGUGUAGCGGUGAAAUGCGUAGAGAUCGGGAGGAAUACCAGUGGCGAAGGCGGCCUUCUGGACUGACACUGACGCUGAGGUGCGAAAGCGUGGGUAGCAAACAGGACUAGAUACCCUAGUAGUC
rnacentral:rRNA from 1 species